rnacentral:rRNA from 1 species
UGCCAGCCGCCGCGGUAAUACGAAGGGUGCAAGCGUUGCUCGGAAUUACUGGGCGUAAAGCGACCGCAGGCGGUCCAGUAGGUCGGAUGUGAAAGCCCGGGGCUCAACCCCGGAACUGCAUUCGAAACCCCUGGACUUGAGUAUGGGAGAGGAGGGCGGAAUUCCUGGUGUAGAGGUGAAAUUCGUAGAUAUCAGGAGGAACGCUCGCGGCGAAGGCGGCUCUCUGGCCCAAUACUGACGCUCAUGGUCGAAAGCAUGGGUAGCGAACGGGAUUAGAUA